rnacentral:rRNA from 1 species
CCUACGGGAGGCAGCAGUGGGGAAUAUUGCACAAUGGGGGAAACCCUGAUGCAGCGACGCCGCGUGAGUGAAGAAGUAAUUCGUUAUGUAAAGCUCUAUCAGCAGGGAAGAAAAUGACGGUACCUGAGUAAGAAGCCCCGGCUAACUACGUGCCCGCAGCCGCGGUAAUACGUAGGGGGCAAGCGUUAUCCGGAUUUACUGGGUGGAAAGGGAGCGUAGGCGGGAGUGCAAGUCUGGAGUGGAAGGCCGGGGCUUAACCCUCGGACUGCUUGGGAAACUGUCCAGCUGGAGUGCAGGAGAGGUGAGUGGAAUUCCUAGUGUAGCGGUGAAAUGCGUAGAUAUUAGGAGGAACACCAGUGGCGAAGGCGGCUUACUGGACUGUAACUGACGUUGAGGCUCGAAAGCGUGGGGAGCAAACAGGAUUAGAUACCCCAGUAGUC